GAGUUUGAUCGUGGCUCAGGACGAACGCUGGCGGCGUGCUUAACACAUGCAAGUCGAGCGGGGACAUGGAACGGAAGGUUUCGGCUGGAAGGUUCAUGUUCUAGCGGCGGACGGGUGAGUAACGCGUGAACAAUCUGUCCCAGACAGGGGGAUAACACUUGGAAACAGGUGCUAAUACCGCAUAAGACCACGAGAUCACAUGAUUUUGAGGUAAAAGGAGCAAUCCGGUCUGGGGUGAGUUCGCGUCCGAUUAGCUAGUUGGCGAGGUAACGGCCCACCAAGGCGACGAUCGGUAGCCGACCUGAGAGGGUGAUCGGCCACAUUGGAACUGAGAAACGGUCCAAACUCUACGGGAGGCAGCAGUGGGAAUAUUGGGCAAUGGGCGAAAGCCUGACCCAGCAACGCCGCGUGAGGGAAGAAGGUUUUCGG
rnacentral:rRNA from 1 species